rnacentral:misc_RNA from 1 species
UCCGAGUUGACCCCGGCAGUCUCCUAUGAGUUCCCGGCCGAACCGCUGGCAACAUAGAACGAGGGUUGCGCUCGUUGCGGGACUUAACCCAACAUCUCACGACACGAGCUGACGACAACCAUGCACCACCUGUAUACCUGCCUUGCGGGGAGACUGUUUCCAGCCUUUUCAGGUAUAUGUCAAGCCUUGGUAAGGUUCUUCGCGUUGCAUCGAAUUAAUCCGCAUGCUCCGCCGCUUGUGCGGGCCCCCGUCAAUUCCUUUGAGUUUUAGCCUUGCGGCCGUACUCCCCAGGCGGGGCGCUUAAUGCGUUAGCUGCGACACGGAAACCGUGGAAUGGUCCCCACAUCUAGCGCCCACCGUUUACGGCGUGGACUAC